GACGAACGCUGGCGGCGUGCCUAAUACAUGCAAGUCGAGCGAAGUGGAGAGAGCUUGCUCUCGAAGCUUAGCGGCGAACGGGUGAGUAACACGUGGGCAACCUGCCCGAUAGACCGGGAUAACUUGGGGAAACUCAAGCUAAUACCGGAUAGGAUCAUUAACCGCCUGGUUGGUGAUGGAAAGUCUGAACGACACUAUCGGAUGGGCCCGCGGCGCAUUAGCUAGUUGGUGGGGUAACGGCCUACCAAGGCGACGAUGCGUAGCCGACCUGAGAGGGUGACCGGCCACACUGGGACUGAGACACGGCCCAGACUCCUACGGGAGGCAGCAGUAGGGAAUCUUCCACAAUGGGCGAAAGCCUGAUGGAGCAACGCCGCGUGAGUGAUGAAGGUUUUCGGAUCGUAAAACUCUGUUAUCAGGGAAGAACAAGUAUCGGAGUAACUGCCGGUACCUUGACGGUACCUGACCAGAAAGCCACGGCUAACUACGUGCCAGCCGCCGCAGUAACAC
rnacentral:rRNA from 1 species